AAGGGCACCACAAGAACGCGUGGAGCAUGUGGCUUAAUUUGACUCAACGCGGGAAACCUUACCGGGUCCGGACAUACUGAGGAUUGACAGGUGUUUACUGUUGGAGUGUGGUUAAUAUUUUUCGGAAUAUUAAUCGCCCCCCUUCAGUUUUAUAAAUAUGCUAGUCCUUUCAUGAUUGUGUGAUAGGUGGUGCAUGGCCGUUCUUAGUUCGUGGAGUGAUCUGUCUGCUUAAUUGCGUUUCACUAUUAAGUGGGUUGUACCGUUCGGCUGUAGCGCGCCUCAUUUUUAAUGGGGUUGCGCGCAGUCGUCACACGGCUACGUUGAUUCUCACUGAAGGCAACGAACGUGACCGCAGCCUCUUGUUGCAUCUUUUUCUCUUUCUAUGAGAAACAAAGCUGCUUUUCGCACAUGUUAUUUAUAGCGUGUGUGUGAUUGCUAGCUUGCACAGGUGCUAACUAGAGGGACCGCUGAGUUUUUCCAACCAGAGGAAGGUUGCGGCAAUAACAGGUCUGUGAUGCCCUUAGAUGUUCCGGGCUGCACACGUGCUACAAUGAUUGUUGCAGUGAGCAUCUCUUUCUUUUUGAUAAAAACCACAAUCUGUCGUUCUUCUUAUUACUGGAUGGAGGCUUUUUGUGUGGUUGCGUGUUGCUUUGGGCUUCAUCUAGUCUCUUCGGGGGCUUGGAUGGGUCUGGGCGCAUGUGAUCAUGCUUGUCUCCUGUCCUACAAUAUGGAGAAACGUAAGAUUGUGCCACCUGCCUCGAAAGUCGGCAGGUAAUCAAUUCGAAGUAACAAUUUCCUCCCGCACACUUUAAUGUCUCAUGAUUUCCGGCUCCCUUGGCUGUUGGCACUUGUGUCUCAGUCUUGGGCUUUGUAUUGUCGGCAUGGUGACAUGUGCUCCAUUAAUUCGUGGUGGGGACAGAAGAUUGCUAACUUUUCUUCUCGGUCUCAACUAGGAAUGCCUUGUACGGGUCUUUGGUUCAACAUACCACCCGGAAUCGGUCCCUGCCCUUUGUACACACCGCCCGUCGCUCUUACCGAUGGACUUCUUUGUGAGGUUGAGGGACUGGCAUCUCACUAAUUGCUCUCGCUUGCGGGUAGCUUUAAGUGACGCUAUGGAAACUCAAUCGAACAAACGGGUCUAAAGGAAAGAGAAGUCG
rnacentral:rRNA from 1 species